UUUAUAUUUUGGAAAUUUUUCCAUAAAUUCUUACAUUUAAAAAGAUCUUAGAAAUCAUAGUUAUUUUUUUAAAUAUAGUUCUUCCAUGGCAAUAAUGAUGAUGCCCAAAAUCUAGAUUCCCAGAAUUUAAAAAGAGUAUCCCUUGAUUAUUCUGGGCCACAAAUCAGAUUCUGAAUUUUAAAAAUCAUCAAACAUCCAUCAGAAAAAGGCAAGCUCAAUUUCUUCUCCAUAACUGAAUAAAAUUAAUUCUGUCUAGCCAGUACUAGAAGGGGAAUUCAAAAAUUUCAGUCAAAGCUUCUAUGGUAGCCAAAAAGAUGGAAAAGACUUGGACUGGGAGAAGAGAUAGGAUAUCAUCAAUUAUAUUCUCUUUUGAUUUUAAUUUUUAGUUAAAAAAAAAAAGCUAUUACCUUCUGUCUUUGAAUCAUUAUUAAGUAUCAGUACCAAAGGCUAGGGAACUGGGGUUAUGUGAUUUUUCUCAGGGUCACAUAUCUAGGAAGAAUCUGAGGCCAGAUUUGACCCAGGUCCUCCCAUGUCCAGACCUGUCUCUAUCCACUGAACCACUUAGCCACCCUCGUUAUAUUCUCUCUUUAUAGGCAGACUGAAAUAGAAAGGCAGAGACAAAGAAGGAGAUAGAGAAGAUCCAGGAACAGAAUGGAGAAGGUGGUAAAAGAGGAGGAAUAUAUAAAAGAGGAACCAGACAGGAAAGACAGGAACAAAGAUCACUAAAGCAGGAAGCUUCAGCCUUUCUCUGACAUUUGACCCAAAGCUCUGCCUUUGUCAUCUCAUGGCAUGGAGGUGACUGAGAUUUUGAAGUCUUUGCCAGUAUAUUGAUAGACAUUUAUGAAGUAUUUGCUCUGUGCCAGGCAAAUUGCUAAGCUCUGGGAAUAAACAGAAAAAGCAUAAAUAAGAGGGGAGGGAGAGAACAUGAAUCACGUAACCAUGGGAAAAUAUUUAAAAAUUAAUUAACUAAUUUUUAAAAAAGAAAAAAAUUGUCCUUGCCCUCCUCGUGUUCACAAUUCUAAUGAGGGAGAUGACAUAUCAGUGAGCGAGAGAUGCCAGAAAAAUAUGGCAUCAGAGGGACAUAAGCUUAGGAGCUGGGGGAGAGGAGUAAGAAGGGGAGUGGGUAAGGGACCAGGAAAGGAAUAGGCUCUAGCAGGCGCUAGUGAGCAAGAAAGAUAAUAGGAGCCCAGUAGAAUGUAUCUAUCACACAAGGGCACAGCUUAGUUAAGUUCGGAGAAGUUCUCAUUACUAAUAGAUUUGCCAGCAGAUAAUGAGCACUGGGGGAAGGGAAUAAGCAUUUUAUUUUUAACCCUUACCUUCUGUCUUAGUAAGGGUUCUAAGAUACAAGCAGCGAAGGCUAGGCAGAUGGCUUGGCUUAGAGUCACACCGGUAGGGCUAAUUUGAAUCCAGGACCUCCCAUCUCUAGGACUAGUUGGCACUAACUAUAUUAUCAGACACUAUGCUAAAUUCUUUACAGCUAUCUCAUUCAAUCUCAUUCCAUUUUACAGAUGAGGAAACUGAGUCAAACAGAGGUUGAGUGACCUGUCUCCUGCCACACAUAAGUAUCUGAAGCUAGAUAUAAGGAGGAGGCCUUUCCUAGUCUUGUAAUGAGAGGAUGCCCCUUUCCUUUGAAAAUUAUCUUCCAUCAACUCUGCAUAUAUCUUGUACAUAGAUAACUAUUUGUAUGCUAACUGUACAUUAGAAUAUGCAGUUAGUGGAGGCAACUCCCUUUCUCGCCUCCUUGCACUAGAAAAGGCAUCAUUUGACCAUUUAUGAUUCCAGUCAGCCAUCUUGGAAUCAUGAAUACAAAACCCAUGAGUGCUCCUUGUGGGAAAUCAAGUAAAGGGGUGACUUCACAACAUUCUUCUCUAAGAAGGCAUUAGCAUCCAGAGGCUGCUGUGAUAGACUCCUGUUCUAUUUAUUAAUCUAGUCUACUGUGAGAAAUUAAUGUUAUUUUAAAAAAAGGAAUGAGGCUGUGGGGAGAGCUUAGCAGGAAAGUUUACACACAUGAUCAUAAUUAAGCUUUGUACUUCUAUUUUUUUCCCUUCUGCUUCAAGUGAUUACUAACAAAUCUUAUAAAAUAAAAUAAAAUACUUGGAGUUAUUGGCAUUAAUUUAAAUCUUACAUUCUUGGCGACCAGAAGUCUGGAAUUUAGGACCCUCACUCCUAUUUUAGUUAAAGACAGAUUAGCUUUAAAAGCCUCUGCCACCCUUGCUGUACCUCCUCCCACUGCUGCUGCUGCUGCUUCUGCCUCCCUCUCUAACUGCCUGAUGGUCCUUGCUAAGCCUGCCGCCUCCAGCCUCCAGCUUCUCUUGAGCACACUAGAUGGGGGUCCUUGAGAGCUGUUUACCUGUGCAAAGUGUGAGUUACAAACCCCCCACCCACCCACGUGGGUCUCAAGUGCAUGCUAGCUGCUUGUACUUCCAGCUUGGAUUUGAGGUGGCUCUUAGACCACUGCUCACAUCCUGUGCUUCCCCCAGUGUAUAGAAUAGCACAGCAUGGGGAGCCACCAUGCCUAGGGCUGCCCCCUCCAUGCUGCCCUACCCCAAAUCUAUCUUGCUUCCAUGCUGAUUGUAAACUAACCCGUGGAAGCUUUUUUGGAAGCCUCUUAAGUCUGUAUUCGACAUCCAUAAAACUCUUUUGCUCUCCCAUACCAGCUCAGCUCUUUAAGAGGCUCUGAGUUUUUACCUUCAUUGUGCCUAAACUAGAUAGCUUUUUCUUUUUCUUGUUGUCCCUCCUAAAUCCAGUCUCAGGUAAGGCUUUUCACCCUGCCCUCCAUUCAAAGGCUGAUUGGGGUGUGUCUCCAUCUACUAGCCUUGUGAGACUUUUAUUCCUAACCAGUAUAUACUAGGGUAGUGCCACCUCCAAACAGGAAGUAGAAUUGUAACCAAUUUGAUGAUUUAAAAGCAUGGCCCACUCUAUGAAAGGGCAGUGCAUUACCACAGUUCUAGAAUGUCUUUUCUUACUACCGUUCCUGGGUGUACUUGUAUUGAUAGAAAUACCUUGCUGUUACUUUGAGUAAUCUGAAGAUUCAGAAGGGAGAUUCAUUCCCCCUUACUAUAUAAGCAUGCUCAGCCUCUGCAACACAUCCAAUAUGGAGUUCAUCCAUAUUAUGCUCAGUGCAGAAAUCCCCCUCAGUAUGGGGGACCUCAUACACAUGAUCAAAGCAAUCUAAAUGGAUGAUGGUACUCAGGAGGGGAAAGAACCUCAAUGAAUCUGGAGGUGAAUUUUAAGCCUUUUCAGACUCCAUUGCCAUAUUGAUGUUAACUGUUUCAGUUUGUUCCCCUCCCAAUAGUGAAGAAAUCUCUAUAAUACAACUAUCAGAAUUGGAGAAAAGGACUCUUGUCUUGAACUGAUUGCUCAAAUGUAAAACCUUUUAUUAACACCGAGUGUCUGUAUCCUAUCAUGCUUACUGUAUUUGCUGAUUCAAUGUUUUUAAGUUCACAUUUUAAUCUAAUCUAAUAUACUCCAUUAUUUUAUGUCAUUUUCAGUUACUGUGUUUUGGCCAUUAUGAUACAUCCUUUUACAUUGUCUUUAUUUGUACCCUCCCACUAUGACUUGACUGGAGAAAAUACCAUUAAAAAGUCUAUAAACAACUUGGACAAACCCUUUUCCAUGGCAAAACCAUAGGUCCUUAUGGAUGCUGAGUUUGUCACCAGAUCCAUUGAGGUCACAUGUUGCCUUAAUGGCCUUUUGUUCCUUUUUGCCUUUGUCACAUAGAUGAUAAUGGAUGGACUCCAUUGAACUGCUUACAACCUGUAGCAGUAACCUAUGGAGAAUUUAAUGAGCUAAAAAAAAAACCAACUCAAUUGAUUUUAAUGGGUCUUCAGAAGUCAUUUUCAGAUAUCUAGGAGUACCACUACCUCUAACUGAUCAUUUGCCUACCUUUGAAUUGUUUGCAACAAGAGAUAAGGAUCCAUUAAGGGAAGUGCAAUAGCACUAUUAUAUUCCCCACAUCCACAUUUAUAAAAAUGUAAUGAAUGAGAUAUCAGAAGUGAUUUUCACUAUUGUAUUCCUUGUCUCCACAUUGAAAUGGAUGGGACAUAUAAAUACAUACCUUGUAUGGCUGUUACCAUAAAAGGGUGGGUUUCCAGGGGGCUUGGUUAUCCUGUGAGGGGUUAUAAUCUCAUCAAGGAGGGGGGAGAAUUUCUCAAGGAUCUUGGUUACCCCUGGACAGGCUUUUUUUUUUUAAUUUUUGUAACUCUUCAGCUUACUCUACCUUUCCACCAGAAUGAUCAAGAUUCUUGGUGACAUUUUAGACCCAAAAGGUCUUCAUCAGCAGUAGAGAGGUUUUUCUGGGAUCUUCUGCCAAAUUUUGGAAUGAUGGUAGUAACAGACUUUGUUAGAACUAUCUUAGCUAAAGUUGAUGGAUUGGCUAGAUCUGUAAAACUUGUGACAAGUAUCCAUUAGCUUCAUAGGUUUUUAAAUAUCACACAGCAAGGGGCUAUAGAGACUCAUGUGAAUCCUAAUGAAAGCAGGUUUGUUUGCUAUUGUCAUUAAAUGGGCUCUUGUGAUUUGGGGGAUUUUGGUAUUUCUUAGAAUGUGCAUUAGCUGUUGUACUACUGUUUUUUUAAAAGUUGUUAUCUCACUAAAAAAUUAUAUACACUCAUCCUGUGGAUUAUGACCAAGUUAAAAAGGGAAUAGAUCUCAUUUUUGAGUGAGAAACCUUUGUGUUGUGCCUUUGCUUGUUAACGUGUCUCAUGGAAUGAGCACUAUGAAUUUUUUAUUUUUUAAAAAUUUAUAAUUGUUAUUCCUUUUAUGUGCAAUAGGAUUUUUGAAUUUUAUUUUCUCUCUUAUUUUUUGUACUUGAAAUACAUAUAAACAGUAUUUUUUUAUUUUGCAUUAAAAUAAGUUUACUAUGUCCAUUAGCCCUAAUAUCAAUGCAUACCCAAAAGCUUUAGACUAUAGAAACCUGCCAUUGAUUAUUUAAUAUUAUGGGACUUUGACUAAUAAUUGUGUCUUAUUUCAGUAGAAGGAAUCACAAAAAAGCCAUUUGUAUAGUGACAAGAAGCUCAAGGUCAUGAAGACCACCCAAUUCUGGUGGGAUUGAUGUGAAUUUGUGCCAAGACUGAGUAUUUGUUUUGGGGUUCAAGGAAGUGGAUGUUUGACAUCAGACACAGGAUUUCCUCUACCAGAUUUAGACAAAGUACCUCAGUUUAGCUGCCAUUUUGGAUCCCCUAUCCCUGAGUGAAGGUAAAAUCUGACCAGGGAAAUGCUAUUUCCCUUUUGCUUCAAAGUCUAGUCCAUUUUCUCUCUUUGAUAGUAUGACAAUUUUCUAUAGCCCUGGCUGCUGACUGGGUAAGUGCAUAUUAUUGCAAUGGUCCUACUGGCUUGUGUGACAUCACUUUAUUGGGCCCUGAUUCUAGGACCUCUUAUGAGCUUGUUCUUGCUUACUUGGGAUUUUUAUGUACAAUUUGAUUUUUUUCUUUUCUUCUAUUCAUUUUUUAAAAUGUUUUUUAUUUUCUUUUGGCAAUUGAUUCAUAUACCUCAUAACUUAGGCAUGUAUCCCGGGGGGAUCUGGAUGUAGGUCAACACCCUCCUCAGGGGAGAUUGUAUUAUCAUCCUAUAAUGCAAGGUUGAAAAUCUUUUAGAGAAAUUUCAGAAAAAGAAACUCACUAAAUCCCUGAAUCAAGAAAGUGAACUGUUUGGAGAAGGUGCCAUGAAGAUGCAUGCAGAAACCACACACUGCAUCAAAAGAUCCAGAAUGAACUUUGGGAUAUAGUGACUUGGACUGUGGGGAAUUGAACAUAUUUAUUUUAAAUGUAUACUCUUAUGCUAAAGGGGAUUUGCCUCUAAUUGGCUUUUUGUCAAUGUGCCUACUUAACAUUGGUUUUGCUCUCUCUUUUAUUUCCCUCUCAUUCCCAAGUUAUUGUAAUUUCUCCUUAGAAAGUGCAAUAUUGCAUGCACCUUCAGUAGGAGACCUUUAGAUAUAUAAGCUGGUUAUGUGUAAUGAUUCAUUGGGGAGACUAGGCAUGUAAAUCUGGGUGAUUCCAACAUGCUCACCUCCCAAUGUAAUCACAGGGGGGGAUUGUGUGGCUAGAAUUUGCUCCCCAGGACUCUUUUACCCAGCAUCCCAUUUAUAUGUUUAUACUACAUGCUAAUGUAGGGAGGAUAUAGUUUUAUGUAACCCCACCCUUCUUUCUCUUUUGUGGAGGCUAGAUGGAGAGCUUGGCAGUAAAGUUUACUCACUUUGUACUUCAAUUUUUUUCCUUUUACUUCAAGUGAUUACUAAUAAAUCUUAUAAAAUAUAAUACUUGGGAGUUUUUGGUAUUAGUUUAAAUCUUACAGCCCAAAGGACUAUAAAACUCUGCAUAUGUACUCUUUGUCUCAGAAUUAGUACUAUUAGGUCUGUAUUCCAAAGGAAUCAAAGAAAAAAGAAAAAGUUCUAUAUGUACAUUUUGAUUAACUGUGAGGGCAGCUAGAUAGAGCACUUGGCCUGGAGUCAGGAAAAUCUGAGCUCAAAUCUGACCUCAGAUACUAGCUUAGAAGUCACUUAACUGUUUGCCUCAGUUUCCUCUUUUUAAAAAUGAGCUAGAGAAGGAAGUGACAAGACAUUCCAAUGUCUUUGUCAAGAAAACUCCAACUGUAGUCACAAUGAGUUGAACACAACUGAAAUGACUGAACAACAAUGAUCAACUGACAAAGAUUUAGCUUCUUUAAACAAAUACAAAGAUCCAAAAAUGUCAAAGGAUUCAUGAGGUGAAAUGUUAUAUACCUCCAGCGAGAUAACUAAUGAACUCUUCAGUGCAGAUCAAAGUAUAUUUUUUACACUUUAUUUUUCUUGCCCCUCCCCCCACUGCUAAUAUGACUAAUAUGGAAAUAUUUUUUACCAUGAAUUGACUUAUAUAGUUGAUAUAUUAUUUGCAUUCUCAAUGGGUAUGUUGGGGUAGGUAAUGGAGGGAGAUAAAGAAUUCAAAACUCAAAAUUUUAAAUAUGUUAAAAUGCAUCAGCAUUUAAAAAAAAGAAAUGAGAGGGAAGGAAGGAAGGGAAGGGAAAAAGGAAAGGAAAAAGAAAAGGAAAGGAAAGGACCUGAAAGGAGAAUAAAGACCUUGGAGGAAGCAAGACAAUCUCUGAGUCUCCAAACCAUGGGAUCUUUCUCCACAUUUUUUUCAGUUUCCUGCUUUUGCCCUUAUUCUCCUCCCAUUUGACUAAUAAUUGUCUCUGUUGUAUUUGUUCAUUUUCUUUUUUUCUACAAUCCCUUUAUUUUCUAUAAUGCCACAACAUGAACGACUUGAUAACGAAGGAGCAUAGUUACCUAAUAAGUGCCAUCCCAUUUCUUCUUUGUUCUAUAUCUAAAUUCACUUACUAACCCUAUAUCUCACUCAAAAUUUGGGGCUGCUCAGGUUUUAGGGAUAACCCAUAUGGAUAGUUAUAAUCCUGAGCCCCUGUUAGUGUGCUUCCUAUUGGAAUGUACAGUGUUUAAGGAAAACUAAUAUAUCUGGUGUGAGGACUUGGUUUUCAGGGUUGCUUUUUUCCUUUGGUGUUGACUUGCCACUCUAGCUGUGGCUCCAAGAAACUGUAGCAUGCACAGUAGCCACAUCCUGAUAAAUCAUCUCAAUAGGGAGGCUAAACCAGGCCUCAAGCCCAUCUGUAAGUUUGGAAAGUGUCUACAAUAGACUCUCUGGAGGAAGGGGCAGAUGAGAAAAAUAAAUGAGGCAGAAAAGCUAAGCAGGAAAGUAUAGUUCUUUUCACUUUUCUGCAAUCUCAGUAUUACU